rnacentral:RNase_P_RNA from 1 species
ACGAUGAACCAGGCUGCCGCUCCGUUAUGGCUCCUUCGGGAAACAGGAACGGGGAGGAAAGUCCGGGCUCCAGAGGGCAUGAUGCCGGGUAACUCCCGGGCGGGAAGGGAGCAAUCCUUUUCCGACAGACAGCGCAACAGAAAGUAUACCGCCGGCGGGUCUCGGGCAAAGCCCCUGCCCGCGCGGCAAGGGUGAAACGGCGGGGUAAGAGCCCACCCCGGUACCGGCGACGGUACCGGAAAAUUCCCGGUCCUGCCUAAAACGCACGCCGUUUUCGGCAGGACCGGGAAGCGGCAAACCUCAUCAGGAGCAAAGUCAAGCAGUGUGUUGCCGGUUUCCUCCGGGAAACCGGCUCCCGGCGGCCCGCCGGUUAAGCACGGGUAGACUGCGGGAGCCGGUACGCAAGGUCCGGCCCAGAUAGAUGGCGGCAAGGCCGCCGGGGCGGUCUGACCGCCCCGGCGGCUUACAGAAUCCGGCUUACCGGUUCAUCGUUUUU